rnacentral:lncRNA from 1 species
AGUUGCAAGUUGCACCCCCAGGCUGUGAAUGCCAGGCCGCGGGGUAGCCGCUGCUACAAAACCCGCCCAGGCUCAAGCCGGUCCCCCUGCCGCAGCGCCGCGCCCUUACCCGAGCCUUGGCCACUCUCCUGACUCGCACGCCGAAGGCCAGACCCGCCCGGCGAGCCGCGCGGCCCUCUGGGAAGUGCUACCCUGCGCCUAGCGGACCCAGGUUUGUGGGUCUUCUUUCCCAGCCUAGCAGCACCAGGCCGUAGCCCGGAGGCUGUGAGCCUUGGGCGGCGUCGGGUUGGGGGAUCGAGACCCGUGGCCCGGCUCAGCGUUGAGUCCCGGAAGCCGUGAGCUGGAGGCCAGGACUCUUUGUGCUGGGUGGAAGCCAGGGCCCUGUAGAGCGGUCGCGGGUGUGGGUAGAGGACGGGAUGCCUGCGGUUUGCAGCAGCCGUGAUGUGACUAUAAUUUGCUCGUUAUCCUUUAUGUGCCUUUACGAACGUGGGUGCACAUGUGAUGGCUGAGAUAAUGAAUGAAUGCAUUAAUGAAAAACUCUGUGGGUGGAAGUUAGGCGGGUAGGAUUGUGUGGAGAUGUGUGAAGACCGCGUUUGAACGAGUGCUACCUUUAGCCGUUUAUAAUAAUUGAAAAUAUUUUUAUAUGAAGCAUCAGUAUCUCCAGGACUUGACUAUUUUCCUGUAUUGACAAACUGUCUUGUGUACAUGACAGGCGAAAUUCAUUUGCCUUGCAGCCCAACUCCAUUUCCCAAAUAGCAAGAUACAGAAAAGCCC